AAGCCAAGGAAAAAGAGUAAGCAACAACGUGGAGUUAUUUUUACAGUUGAAUAGCCAUGGACAACACCUUUAAACAAAACCAGAUAUUGAUGCCAAGUGGAAAUGGUUGGGAGAAAGUGACAAUUUAGUACCAGAAUGGAAAAGCACUAAAUUGAGUGACAUUAGAGAUUUACCAUUCUUCAGUGAUGAGAUAAAGAGAUUGAUACUCCAUGAGGUUAAAACCUGUGAUUUCUCUACCUUAUAAUGCUGAGUAACUGGGGAC